AGAAAGCUAGCUAGCUAGCUAGGUAUCAGUCUAGAGGAACCAUCGGAAAGCCAGCUAGCUAGGUAUCAGUCUAGAGCAUCACACAUUACACAGGUAGAUGUUUCGUCUUCAGUUCAGUGUGGGACACAGAAGAAGCAGGCAGCAGUAGUAGUAGCAUAAAUAAGAUAUCAGCUCUUACGGUUUGUCUUCAGAACCAUUUUUAAAAAACAAUAGAAACAGAAUGAUUCUUGUAUGUUGUGAGAUAUUUAAAACAAUAGACAGACAACAUGAUUAAAUGAAUUAAUAGUACGAGAACUAGGUGGACCAACUUUUGUUUUGCAACAACAACCUUUUUAGUCAGAGAGUCUUAAUUUCACAGCUACCUAAAUAAUCCAAACGAAAAAAAACAAACAUCUGUGUUGACUAUUCCUUGAAUAAGCCAAUCAGAAGCUUCCUCUUACCAAGCUUGUGUUAGAACACAUCAAAGAUCCUGAGACGACACAGUUCUAGAAAACUGAGCUAAAUAUAGAACACAGAUCUCUUUCUUUACAAAAAAAAAAAAAAAAAAAAAAAUUGGGGGAGGUGAACUUGGGGAUACAACCCCCCCCAACUCCAUUUUAAUAACACAUAUGAAAAGAUAAUACAAGCAUGGCCACAGUAAUAUACACCAUGAAAUGAGAAGCAACAGACGUCACACAUCCUCAGGAAAAAAAAAAAAAAAAAAAAAGAGAAUCCCAUCUAAAGUGUAAACACAAAUACAUUAUAGAAAACAAAACGGUAUAAACAUGUUCCCGUGGGAACAGAUAAAGUAACUGUGGUGGUGAAUUCUAGCAACAAUAACAAAACAACAACAAAAGAGUCCCAUUGUAAAUGUGUGGAUCCAGGCUGGCUAGGUUGGUGUGUUAGUAGGCCUGUCAUAUAGCAGGGGAUCUGCACCUCAAGGCUUAACACACAACAGCUAUUGUUCAACCUUUGUACACGUUGACCAGGAUGAAAUCACAGCAUGAAAUAGAAGCACUAAUAACACAAUAUUGUUAUGGAAAUCAUGAUUUAAAAGUACAUUUAGUUAUAUAUCAGUGAUUUUAGUAGCUUUAAAAAAAAAAAUGAUGACAGAUUGUCUAUACAUUCUCUUUAUAUAAUCAUGAAAACCAUA
ensembl:lncRNA